GUAGGAGGCGAGCGUUAUCCGGAUUCACUGGGCGUAAAGCGCGUGCAGGCGGUUUGGUAAGUUGGGCGUGAAAGCUCCCGGCUCAACUGGGAGAGGUCGUUCAAUACUACCGAACUAGAGAACAGAAGAGGAAGAUGGAAUUCCCGGUGUAGUGGUGAAAUGCGUAGAUAUCGGGAGGAACACCAGUGGCGAAGGCGAUCUUCUGGUCUGUUUCUGACGCUCAGACGCGACAGCUAGGGUAGUAAACGGGAUUAGAGACCCCGGUAAUCCUAGCCGUAAACGAUGUGAACUUGGCGUCGGUGGCUUAAACACCAUCGGUGCCGAAGCAAACGCGAUAAGUUCACCGCCUGGGGACUACGGCCGCAAGGUUAAA
rnacentral:rRNA from 1 species